AGCAGCCGCGGUAAUUCCAGCUCCAAUAGCGUAUAUUAAAGUUGUUGCAGUUAAAAAGCUCGUAGUUGAAUUUCGGGAUUGACGUGAUGGUCGUGCCUUACGGGGUAUGAACUGUCGCAGUUGAUUUCUCACCUUCUGGAGAAGCUCGAUGUCCUUAAUUGGGUGUCUUGCGGAACCAGGACCUUUACCUUGAAAAAUUAGAGUGUUUAAAGCAGGCAUUUUGCUCGAAUACAUUAGCAUGGAAUAAUAGAAUAGGACGGCAUGGUUCUAUUUUGUUGGUUUCUAGGAUCACCGUAAUGAUUAAUAGGGAUAGUUGGGGGCAUUAGUAUUCAAUUGUCAGAGGUGAAAUUCUUGGAUUUAUUGAAGACUAACUACUGCGAAAGCAUUUGCCAAGGAUGUUUUCAUUAAUCAAGAACGAAAGUUAGGGGAUCGAAGACGAUCAGAUACCGU
rnacentral:rRNA from 1 species